GUCAAGUCGCCUACUUUUUUUCAUACCGCUAACUGGGUCAUAGCCACCGAUGCAAGCCGGACACCUUAGGUAGCAGUCGCUCUUAUACCAGGUCUUAUAGCGGGAGACUGUCACUUGAUACUCUCUCCGUGCCAUUUAUAUCAGUACAUCUAUACUCAAUCAUUCAUCGUUGAUCACCUGGACGUCAGGUAGACAUUGGUGGUACUGACCAAUAAGCCAAACUCCAGUGUGGGGCACAACGUUGUUACGGCCAUUAGGCCUACCUAUACAGGAUAGCCGUGGACGCCCGUGGCGACCUCGAUGUGACAUGUGGGCGGGAUAAACUGGUGUAAGAUGGAACCCCCUGACAAUCAUUUCCACCGAUGGAGCUGUCCUCACUUCAUGUACCAGUGGAAUGUUAACGAUGUGCCACCCGACAUCUGGGAUAAGAUAUGUUACAAGUUGGAUCUUCGAACAAUGUCUGGGCCUGGAGUGUACAAACUGGCAAACGCUCUGUCAUUUAACAUGAAGUUCAGAUGGAUGUUGGAAGACUAUGAAAAAAAAAACCCAGAUAAAAGCGUGACUAUGAUGUUUUUGCGACACUGUUCCAAAAAAAACAUCUCUGUGGGACACAUUCAAGAAGGUUUGGACCGGAUCGACUCGCAGGCCGCAGAAAUUAUCCCCAGAAACUUACAGUUUA